GGGAAACCAGGAUUUGGAACUAACAGAUUCACUUCGUGAUGGCCCCAGCUCGAGUUGAGAAACUGAGUGAGACCACCUCAGACUCCCAGGAAUUGAGCUGUUUGAUCAUAAAAUUCAUCGGGAAGAACAACACAGCAAGAGCAGUGAGAACGGGCUUUUCCAGGAAAAAUGUUGAGUCGUGGGUUGAGGUCCCAGGAAAGGCUGGCAUUCGAGAGGCUGGUGCAGGCAUUACUCUGGACGCUUGGGGUACACAGUGAACCAAACAAAGACCCCUCCUUUGUGGAUGUUCCAUUCUAGACAGACAACAGACACUGAACAUGGCGAUCAGGAAUUUUCUGGCCCGUGGAAAACAGGCUGUGAUGAAGAUACGAAGAUGAUUUAGUCGGUGACUGAUGAGAUCGGGCGUCCGUCCCUCCAUCAAUCCUUCUGCAGCCGUUAGGUCUGAUCCUGAGCAUCAGUGACCUGGAACAGGGCCGUCACGUCCCCUCUGCAGCUUUCCCACGGAGCCUCAUAAAUUCCGCAUGUGGCGUUUCACGCCGCAUCUCCGGCUUCUCUUGCUGCUAAGGGCUCGUGUUCCCCAUGGUGGCAUGGUGAGGCAAUCUUAGCGUCGGUCCCCUGGAACACUCGUUCUGUGGGGUGGGCAAGGGCAGGAUGGAAGCCUACAAGUAUGGGAGUGCUGGGUUGGAAGGCUUCUCAUUACAUGACUAUGCAGGGUCCUCUGUGUGAAUGUGUACCUUCAAGGGAGGGAGGUCCUAGAGGGCGCGUCUCAAACUUAGUUGCCUAAGUCAAGGAAAUCUUUUGGUGUAGAACACCCCUGGGACUCGCGUUCUCAGGUACAUAUUCUAGGAAAUGUUGCCAUCAAUGGAAUGAUUCUUAGUGAUCUUCCAGGCCAGCACUGUCCAAAUAGCAGCAUAAUGUGAACCACAAAGACAAGCCACAGCUGUGAUUUUAAUUUUUCAGGAGUCACAUUAAAAAGUAACACGAACUGGG